ensembl:lncRNA
CACGGACACGUGCCUGGGCUCCAGUUGGGCAUACCUGCAAGACUUGGAGCACAGAAUGAGGCUUUGGUUGUGCUGUGGGGUUGCCAGCAGCCCAUCCCACAGCACUGUCAGUGUUUCAUCAGCCCUGCAUGGCUCUGGCAGCCGUGGCCCUGGAAGGUGUGCUUGCAGCAACAGAGUGCCAGUGAAGGGAACAACCUCACCCACCACACAGCCCAGGACCGGGGAGGUAUCAGAAUGGAUCUGGCCCAUCUGUGGGCGCAGCUGGGAUGAUGUGACUGUUUCCAGCAGCUUUGCUACAGCUCUGCCCUCUGCACAUUGUUUAUGGUCAGGAGAACGUGCAUGGGCAGGCAGAGCCUGUGCUCCUGGAUCUGCAGCA